rnacentral:lncRNA from 1 species
GUCUUGGUGCGUGCCGCCGUGCCGCCGUGCCGCCGUUGGGGGUGGGGGCCGGGGCGAGUCGUGUCCGGCCUGUGCGCGUGCCGGGAGCGACAGUGCCCGGCGUGGGAGAGCGGGCGUGCGGGCGGCCUCAGCCUGGAGUCGCCGUGACAGGGGUGCCAGACCUCCCCGCGUGCUCCUCGCAUUUUCUCUACGCCUGUCGCCCUGUUUGUUUUUUGUUCCCGUCCACCCUCGAGACCGUGCUUCACGAGGUCGAGGCGCGAUGAGUUAUUUUAAGUAGAUGAUUUCAUGACCUUUGAUGUUUGACUGACUUUGUCAUGUGCUAUGGGUUUUAUAUGGAUGCUGUUUCUUGGUGAAGGUUCACGGUGAACACACGUGUGUAACAGCUAAAGAAAAAAAGGGCUUGGGAUCAGUUGACGUUCUGAUGCCUUGAAUCAGUGAAGGUUACUUAGAAAAAGAAUUAUUUCGCUAGUGAAAAAGAGGACAUGGGCGAGUUUAAAGAGUUGACGGGUCGAGGCAGAUUCAAGAGCUGAGCUGUCCAGUAAGAUGGUCACUAACGACUGGAUAAGUUUCUCAGUUGUACUAGCCACAUUUCAGGAGCUCAGUGACCUCUUUAUUGGACAGUGCAGAUUAUAUAUAGCCCAUUCCCAGCAUCGCAGAAAGUUAUAUUGGACAGUGCUGAUUUAGAUAGUGGGGAAUUGUUUUAUACUGGUCAUCCAGGCCUUUGUAAGUGCUGCUAGGUCGUGGUUAAUCACGUUAGUCCUCUAGACACAGGUAAUUCUAAUGUAUUACUGGGUAUGGGUGUACUUGUUAGUAGUCAGCUUUACCAACAAGUAAUAUGCCUACACCAUGUAAGGCUUUUGUUUUGGGGACAGAGUGAAAGCAAUAGUUAACAAUUACCAAGUAAUUAGGAGCCGGGCCGCUUUAUAUGCAUCCUUUUAUGAUUCCUUACAAGUUUAUGACGCAGGUGGUAUUUUUUUCCAGUUGUGUGGCGUUUUUGCCCAUUAGGACUCAACUAAAAACCCAUGGCUUUGGCCAGGCACAGUGGCUGACGCCUGUAAUCCCAGCACUUUGGGAGGCCGAGGCGGGCGGAUCACCUGAGGUCAGGAGUUCAAGAUCAGCCUGGGCAACACGGUGAAACCCCGUCUCUACUAAAAAUACAAAAUUAGCUGGGCGUGGUGGCACAUGCCUGUAAUCCUCGGGAGGCUGAGGCAGGAUAAUCGCUUGAACCUGGGAGGCGGAGGAUGCGGUGAGCCGAGAUCGUGCCAUUGCACUCCAGCCUGGGCAACAAAUCUCCGUCUCACCAAAACAAACAAACGAAAACCGUGGCUUUUAUCCAUGAAGCUAUUAAUAUAUUGCCUUCUUUUGAAGUGGAAUAAAACAAUCUGCCUUCAGAUAACUUAAAAUCUGAUAUGGGAAAUAAGACGCGCUGUAAUAAAUAAUAUGAAAGAGAAUGGGAUAAGUACCAGAAGAUUGUGAACAAAACCUAAUUAAUAAAAUAAAGGGAGAAAAAAAAACUUUGUUUUUUUUUGGUUGUUGGAGUAGGAAGAGAUCAGUAGGUAAAUCUUUAAGGAUAGCUAAAAGUUGGAUUUGCAGUAAUGGAAGUGGGUGAGAGUACGACGCACACAAAGCAAAAAAAGAAUCAAUGAAAUAAGCAAAAGCAUGAGGUGUGGUCCUAUCUUAGUUUUCCGAAGGGGCAAAUAAAUAAACUAUGAGAGGAAUGAAUUAAUGGCAUUUGCAGCAACCUGGAUGAGAUUGGAGACUUAUAUUCUAAGUGAAGUAACUAAGGAAUAGAAACCCAAACAUCGUAUGUUCUCACUCAUAAGUGGGAGUUAAGCUAUGAGGAUGUAAAGGCAUAAGGAUGAUACAGUGGACUUUGGGGACUCAAGGGGAAAGGGUGGGAAGGGGGUGAGGGAUAAAAGACUACAAAUUGGGUGCAGUGUAUACUGCUCAGGUGAUGGGUUC